GACAGAGGUGCCGAGCGUUAGGCGGAAUCACUGGGCUUAAAGCGUGUGUAGGCGGGCGGGCAAGUACCUUGUGAAAUCCCACGGCUCAACCGUGGAACGGCUGGGUAUACUGCCUGUCUUGAGCCAACUAGGGGCGAGCGGAACAGACGGUGGAGCGGUGAAAUGCGUAGAUAUCGUCUGGAACGCCAAAGGUGAAAACAGGCUGCUGGGGUUGUGCCGACGCUGAGACACGAAAGCCAGGGGAGCAAACGGG
rnacentral:rRNA from 1 species